GAUGAAGAACGUAGCGAAAUGCGAUACUUGGUGUGAAUUGCAGAAUCCCGUGAACCAUCGAGUCUUUGAACGCAAGUUGCGCCCGAAGCCAUUAGGCCGAGGGCACGCCUGCCUGGGCGUCACACGUCGUUGCCCCCCCAUCUACUCCUUCGGGAUUGCGGGGGGCGGAUGAUGGCCUCCCGUGCGCCUCGCCGCGCGGUUGGCAUAAAUGCCAAGUCCUCGGCGACGCACGCCACGACAAUCGGUGGUUGCGAAACCUCGGUUGCCCGUCGUGUGCGGUCGUCGCGCAUCGAGGGCUCGAAAAAAUUGCCGGGUUCCGGCUCGGCUUUCAACGCGACCCCAGGUCAGGCGGGGUUACCCGCUGAAUUUAAGCAUAUCAAUAACGGAGGA
rnacentral:misc_RNA from 1 species